rnacentral:rRNA from 1 species
GAGUUUGAUCAUGGCUCAGGAUGAACGCUGGCGGCAUGCCUAACACAUGCAAGUUGAACGAGAAGUUUUGGAGGGAGUCUUCGGACGAACGAAGGGAUGGAAAGUAGCGAACGGGUGAGUAACGCGUGGGCAACCAACCUUACACAGGGGGAUAACACAGAGAAAUCUGUGCUAAUACCGCAUAAGCGCACAGUACUGCAUAGUACAGUGUGAAAAACUCCGGUGGUGUAAGACGGGCCCGCGUCUGAUUAGCUAGUUGGUAGGGUAAAAGCCUACCAAGGCAACGAUCAGUAGCCGACCUGAGAGGGUGAUCGGCCACAUUGGGACUGAGACACGGCCCAAACUCCUACGGGAGGCAGCAGUGGGGGAUAUUGCACAAUGGAGGAAACUCUGAUGCAGCAAUGCCGCGUGAAGGAAGAAGGUCUUCGGAUUGUAAACUUCUAUCAGCAGGGAAGAAAAUGACGUACCUGACUAAGAGCCCC